GGAAGUAUUAGAUGGCGAUCUGGCUGCGACAUCUGUGCCCCCAUUGAUUGCCAGGGUUGAUUCAGCUGAUCUGACUGGCUAGGCCGGUGUCCCCUUCCUCCCUCACUGCUCCGUGUGCGUCCCUCCCGAAGCUGCGCUCAGUCGAAGAGGAGGACCAUCCCCGCUAGAGGAGGAUCGGUCUUCUGUCAAGGGUAUACGAGUAGCUGCUCUCCCCUGCUAGAACCUCCAAACAAGCUCUCAAGAAAUUAUUAGAUGAUGAGCCAUUUACUGGGACACUGUCACCCACAAAGAGACCAGGAUAGAAUUGAUAGUUCUUGGCUUU
rnacentral:snRNA from 1 species